UUUAACUCAUGCUGCAUAAGCAUCAGUUAAAACACUUGUUGAGAUAAGCCCAAGAAAUAUGAAUCGGAGACUUAAAUAUAAAUCAGAAACCUCAAACUGUAUUACUGCAAUUGAAAAGCUGAAAGAUCAAUCAACAAAGGAAUCCAGGUGGAUCCAGACUGUGACGAGACAUCUAGUAAAAUUCCUCAUCAUUAUAUAUAGAUAUGUCUUGGGUCUCUCCUUUAGUAUUGUGGUGAGUCAGUGCAUGUCUGCUGGGCAGAUGUCAUUGUCUGUCCUCUGUGCUGUGAAAAGGAGACAAAGGCAGAUUUGAGGGAUAGUUUGUCCUCUCCAGAUACUGCAGUCUCCAUUGUCAUCCAGACGCCAAUGGGGAAGCAAAGUACCAAACCGGUUCUGCAGGGUCUUUGUGCUGCGCUGGAGACAUGCCCACGUGGGCUGACUGAUAACCUGCCCUUUGCUUACUGAUUGAUUAAUCGUAGAGAUGUGUGGUGCACAUUUUCUAAUCUGGCCUGCUAGUUAGUUCUUUCUGAUCUUAUCUUUUUUUGGCUUGUGCAAAAGUCAAGUCAUAAUCCAUCUUCUGUGAGAGAAAGGAUGCAGGAAUAUAUUUUUCGAUCUCAGAAUAAAACCAUUUUACAGUGAAAAGAUUAGCUUUAAUCACCUUAUUCAAGUUGCUGAUUCAUGUAGCAGUAAUCUUGAAAUUCAUGGCAGUGAGUCAAUGUAGUGCAAUACUUAUUUCACAGAAAACAGAGUGCUAUCAUCUUUUAGUCAUAUACUAAGUAGGGGAAAAGGGAGUCUCACAGACCUUCCUUUCUUAAACAUUCACAAUCAUCAUGAUCUUUGAUGAUCUAAGGUUCAAUGCAAUUGUUUAUUUUAAUAAUUUAUGUGUUAUGUUCUAAUUAAGCAAUGAAGGUCACCUAUAAGUAAGGUCACGCCAUAUCCUGGAUUUAGUGUUUAAAUUCCCAACAUACUGUAGAAUGUUUUAAGCAGCCGAUUGCUGUUUACAUCGGUGAUUAGAAUGGAAAAUAAA